rnacentral:tRNA from 1 species
GACUCUAUAGUUUAAAACCAAAACACUAAAUUGCAAGUUUAAAGACCGACACUUUCGUGGGGUUU